ACCCGCUGAACUUAAGCAUAUCAAUAAGCGGAGGAAAAGAAACCAACAGGGAUUGCCCUAGUAACGGCGAGUGAAGCGGCAACAGCUCAAAUUUGAAAUCUGGCUCUUUUAGAGUCCGAGUUGUAAUUUGCAGAGGGCGCUUUGGCUUUGGCAGCGGUCCAAGUUCCUUGGAACAGGACGUCACAGAGGGUGAGAAUCCCGUACGUGGUCGCUGGCUAUUGCCGUGUAAAGCCCCUUCGACGAGUCGAGUUGUUUGGGAAUGCAGCUCUAAAUGGGAGGUACAUUUCUUCUAAAGCUAAAUAUUGGCCAGAGACCGAUAGCGCACAAGUAGAGUGAUCGAAAGAUGAAAAGCACUUUGGAAAGAGAGUCAAACAGCACGUGAAAUUGUUGAAAGGGAAGCGCUUGCAGCCAGACUUGCUUACAGUUGCUCAUCCGGGUUUCUACCCGGUGCACUCUUCUGUAGGCAGGCCAGCAUCAGUUUGGGCGGUAGGAUAAAGGUCUCUGUCACGUACCUCCUUUCGGGGAGGCCUUAUAGGGGAGACGACAUACUACCAGCCUGGACUGAGGUCCGCGCAUCUGCUAGGAUGCUGGCGUAAUGGCUGUAAGCGGCCCGUCUUGAAACACGGACCAAGGAGUCUAACAUCUAUGCGAGUGUUUGGGUGUCAAGCCCGAGCGCGUAAUGAAAGUGAACGGAGGUGGGAACCCGCAAGGGUGCACCAUCGACCGAUCCUGAUGUCUUCGGAAGGAUUUGAGUAAGAGCAUGGCUGUUGGGACCCGAAAGAUGGUGAACUAUGCUUGAAUAGGGUGAAGCCAGAGGAAACUCUGGUGGAGGCUCGCAGCGGUUCUGACGUGCAAAUCGAUCGUCAAA
rnacentral:rRNA from 1 species